rnacentral:rRNA from 1 species
UUGACCUCAAAUCAGGUAGGACUACCCGCUGAACUUAAGCAUAUCAAUAAGCGGAGGAAAAGAAACUAACAAGGAUUCCCCUAGUAACUGCGAGUGAAGCGGGAAAAGCUCAAAUUUGAAAUCUGGCAGCUCUUUGAACUGUCCGAGUUGUAAUCUAGAGAAGUGUUACCUGUGUUGGACCGUGUACAAGUCUCCUGGAAUGGAGCGUCACAGAGGGUGAGAAUCCCGUCUUUGACACGGACUGCCUGCACGUUAUGGUGCGCUCUCAAAGAGUCGAGUUGUUUGGGAAUGCAGCUCAAAAUGGGUGGUAAAUGCCAUCUAAAGCUAAAUAUUGGCGAGAGACCGAUAGCGAACAAGUACCGUGAGGGAAAGAUGAAAAGAACUUUGGAAAGAGAGUUAAACAGUACGUGAAAUUGCUGAAAGGGAAACGCUUGAAGUCAGUCGCGUCGGCUAGAAAUCAACCUUGCUUUUGCUUGGUGUACUUUCUUGUUGACGGGUCAGCAUCAAUUUUGACCGUUGGAUAAAGUCAUUGGGAAUGUGGCAUCUUAGGAUGUGUUAUAGCCCGUUGUCGCAUACGACGGUUGGGAUUGAGGAACUCAGCACGCCCGCAAGGGACGGGUUUUUUGACCACGUUCGUGCUUAGGAUGCUGGCAUAAUGGCUUUAAUCGACCCGUC